rnacentral:rRNA from 1 species
GACGAACGCUGGCGGCGGGCUUAACACAUGCAAGUCGAACGGAAAGGCCCUGCUUUUGUGGGGUGCUCGAGGGGCGAACGGGUGAGUAACACGUGAGUAACCUGCCCUUGACUUUGGGAUAACUUCAGGAAACUGGGGCUAAUACCGGAUAGGAGCUCCUCCUGCAUUGAGGGGGUUGGAAAGUUUCGGCGGUUGGGGUUGGACUCGCGGCUUAUCAGCUUGUUGGUGGGGUAGUGGCUUACCAAGGCUGUGACGGGUAGCCGGCAUGAGAGGGUGACCGGGCACAUUGGGCCUGAGAUACGGAGCAGACUCCUACGGGAGGCAGUAGGCGCGAAUAUUGCCCAAUGGGAGGAAGCCUGAUGAAGCAACGUCGCGUGCGGGAUGACGGUCUUUGGGUUGUAAACCGCUUUCGCCUGUGACGCAGCGUGAGUGACGGUACUGGGUAAAGAAGCACCGGCUAACUACGUG